AUUGAACGCUGGCGGCAGGCCUAACACAUGCAAGUCGAGCGGAUGAAGGGAGCUUGCUCCUGAUUCAGCGGCGGACGGGUGAGUAAUGCCUAGGAAUCUGCCUGGUAGUGGGGGAUAACGUCCGGAAACGGGCGCUAAUACCGCAUACGUCCUGAGGGAGAAAGUGGGGGAUCUUCGGACCUCACGCUAUCAGAUGCGCCUAGGUCGGAUUAGCUAGUUGGUGGGGUAAAGGCCUACCAAGGCGACGAUCCGUAACUGGUCUGAGAGGAUGAUCAGUCACACUGGAACUGAGACACGGUCCAGACUCCUACAGGAGGCAGCAGUGGGGAAUAUUGGACAAUGGGCGAAAGCCUGAUCCAGCCAUGCCGCGUGUGUGAAGAAGGUCUUCGGAUUGUAAAGCACUUUAAGUUGGGAGGAAGGGCAGUAAGUUAAUACCUUGCUGUUUUGACGUUACCAACAGAAUAAGCACCGGCUAACUUCGUG
rnacentral:rRNA from 1 species